UACAGAGGGUGCAAGCGUUGUUCGGAAUUAUUGGGCGUAAAGCGCGUGUAGGCGGCUGCUUAAGUCGGGUGUGAAAGCCCGGGGCUCAACCCCGGGAUGCCGCCCGAGACUGGGCGGCUUGAGGUCGGAAGAGGGGAGUGGAAUUCCAGGUGUAGCGGUGAAAUGCGUAGAGAUCUGGAGGAACACCCGUGGCGAAGGCGGCUCCCUGGUCCGAUUCUGACGCUGAGACGCGAAAGCGCGGGGAGCGAACGGG
rnacentral:rRNA from 1 species